AGAGUUUGAUUCUGGCUCAGGACGAACGCUGGCGGCGCGCCUAACACAUGCAAGUCGAACGAGAGAGAGGGAGCUUGCUUCCUCAAUCGAGUGGCGAACGGGUGAGUAACGCGUGAGGAACCUGCCUCAAAGAGGGGGACAACAGUUGGAAACGACUGCUAAUACCGCAUAAGCCCACGACCCGGCAUCGGGUAGAGGGAAAAGGAGCAAUCCGCUUUGAGAUGGCCUCGCGUCCGAUUAGCUAGUUGGUGAGGUAACGGCCCACCAAGGCGACGAUCGGUAGCCGGACUGAGAGGUUGAACGGCCACAUUGGGACUGAGACACGGCCCAGACUCCUACGGGAGGCAGCAGUGGGGAAUAUUGCACAAUGGGGGAAACCCUGAUGCAGCGACGCCGCGUGGAGGAAGAAGGUCUUCGGAUUGUAAACUCCUGUUGUUGAGGAAGAUAAUGACGGUACUCAACAAGGAAGUGACGGCUAACUACGUGCCAGCAGCCGCGGUAAAACGUAGGUCACAAGCGUUGUCCGGAAUUACUGGGUGUAAAGGGAGCGCAGGCGGGAAGACAAGUUGGAAGUGAAAUCCAUGGGCUCAACCCAUGAACUGCUUUCAAAACUGUUUUUCUUGAGUAGUGCAGAGGUAGGCGGAAUUCCCGGUGUAGCGGUGGAAUGCGUAGAUAUCGGGAGGAACACCAGUGGCGAAGGCGGCCUACUGGGCACCAACUGACGCUGAGGCUCGAAAGUGUGGGUAGCAAACAGGAUUAGAUACCCUGGUAGUCCACACUGUAAACGAUAUAAAGAGGUGUUGGAGGAUUGACCCCUUCAGUGCCGCAGUAACACAAUAAG
rnacentral:rRNA from 1 species